rnacentral:rRNA from 1 species
AGCGGCGGACGGGUGAGUAAUGCCUAGGAAUCUGCCUGGUAGUGGGGGAUAACGUCCGGAAACGGACGCUAAUACCGCAUACGUCCUACGGGAGAAAGCAGGGGACCUUCNGGCCUUGCGCUAUCANAUGAGCCUANGUCGGAUUANCUAGUUGGUGGGGUAAUGGCUCACCAAGGCGACNAUCCGUAACUGGUCUGAGAGGAUGAUCANUCACACUGGAACUGAGACACGGUCCANACUCCUACNGGAGGCAGCAGUGGGGAAUAUUGNACAAUGGGCGAAAGCCUGAUCCANCCAUGCCGCGUGUGUGAANAANGUCUUCNGAUUGUAAAGCACUUUAAGUUGGGAGGAAGGGCANUAAAUUAAUACUUUGCUGUUUUGACGUUACCGACNGAAUAANCACCGGCUAACUCUGUGCCANCAGCCGCGGUAAUACANAGGGUGCAAGCGUUAAUCGNAAUUACUGGGNGUAAAGCGCGCGUAGGUGGUUCGUUAANUUGGAUGUGAAAUCCCCGGGCUCA